UACAGAGGUCCCAAGCGUUGUUCGGAUUCAUUGGGCGUAAAGGGUGCGUAGGCGGCGCGGUAAGUCGGGUGUGAAAUCUCGGGGCUUAACUCCGAAACUGCAUUCGAUACUGCCGUGCUUGAGGACUGGAGAGGAGACUGGAAUUUACGGUGUAGCGGUGAAAUGCGCAGAUAUCGUAAGGAAGACCAGUGGCGAAGGCGGGUCUCUGGACAGUUCCUGACGCUGAGGCACGAAGGUCAGGGGAGCAAACGGG
rnacentral:rRNA from 1 species